CCUACGGGUGGCAGCAGUGAGGAAUAUUGGUCAAUGGCCGGAAGGCUGAACCAGCCAUGCCGCGUGAAGGUCAGUGCCCUAUGGGCGUUAAACUUCUUUUGUGCGGGAGCAAUAAUGGUCACGUGUGGCCAGACGAGAGUACCGUACGAAUAAGCAUCGGCUAACUCCGCGCCAGCAGCCGCGGUAAUACGGGGGAUGCAAGCGUUAUCCGGAUUUAUUGGGUUUAAAGGGUGCGUAGGCUGUGAGGUAAGUCAGCGGUGAAAUGCCCCCGCUCAACGGGGUGAAGUGCCAUUGAUACUGACUGGCUGGAAUGCGGAUGCCGUGGGAGGAAUGUGUGGUGUAGCGGUGAAAUGCAUAGAGAUCACACAGAACACCGAUUGCGAAGGCAUCUCACGAAUCCGCGAUUGACGCUGAUGCACGAAAGCGUGGGUAUCAAACAGGAUUAGAUACCCUUGUAGUC
rnacentral:rRNA from 1 species